UCAUUUCUUCAGGUUAUGCAGGCGAAGGAAUAUCAGCUAGCGUACUCUCUCGCCUUCAUGACCUGGUGAAUUGU